AUUGAACGCUGGCGGCAGGCCUAACACAUGCAAGUCGAGCGGAUGAAGGGAGCUUGCUCCUGGAUUCAGCGGCGGACGGGUGAGUAAUGCCUAGGAAUCUGCCUGGUAGUGGGGGACAACGUUUCGAAAGGAACGCUAAUACCGCAUACGUCCUACGGGAGAAAGCAGGGGACCUUCGGGCCUUGCGCUAUCAGAUGAGCCUAGGUCGGAUUAGCAAGUUGGUGCGGUAAUGGCUCAGCAAGGCGACGAUCCGUAACUGGUCUGAGAGGAUGAUCAGUCACACUGGAACUGAGACACGGUCCAGACUCCUACGGGAGGCAGCAGUGGGGAAUAUUGGACAAUGGGCGAAAGCCUGAUCCAGCCAUGCCGCGUGUGUGAAGAAGGUCUUCGGAUUGUAAAGCACUUUAAGUUGGGAGGAAGGGUUGUAGAUUAAUACUCUGCAAUUUUGACGUUACCGACAGAAUAAGCACCGGCUAACUCUGUGCCAGCCGCCGCCGUAACAC
rnacentral:rRNA from 1 species